UUUUCCUCUGAUAUCGCCGAACUCACGCCCCUUCACCCGAUCUCGUCGACCUAGCGCCGCGACGAUCUCUGCACCCGAGCUCACGGCGACGUUUAGCCGUUGCUCGCCGGAGCCUCUUUCCCCUUUGUCUACAACUCCUCCUCCCCUCUACAGAUCGCUGUUUCACACAAGGUAUUCUAGGUUGGGUGAGGAGGUUUGGGCUUCGGCGUCGCUGGAGAUUGGAUCGACGAGUCCCGGGUCAUUUUUGGUGGAGAGGGUACACUCCAGACGGAGGUCUCGCUUUCCCGAACUCUAGAACUGAGCUGAGUUCGUUGGAGUUCUCUUCGUCAACGGUAGAGGUUCCCGGCAUCAAGGUGUUGAGUGCCUCUCGGUGCAGGACUCGGGUAGAACCUCCAGAAGCAUACCUCGCCGGAGGGGCAUCUUCAGCAGUGGGAUUUUCCGGGCGUGAGUCACUGGCUCCGUGGUAGCUCAGGUUGUGAAUCUUGGCAUGUGUUUCAGUGGUUGACGUACUGAUUAGAGGAGUUUCUAAUGUUCUAGCUUGGUAGAGGUUGUGGUUGUGGAUUUACGGCAGCGGGCAGCACCAGUGAGCUAUUGCUGGAGAUUACACCUCCCGACAGUGGGUUGACAGUGGGAGUUUUCAUAAGGACUUUGAUCGGGACGAGCGGCGUGACGAGAUUGGCGUUGGAUUCAG